UGUCUGAUAGGCUACACCGGUUAGGAAAUAGGAUUCAUGUCCUAGAGACAGCUGGGAACUAGUGGCUCUGUAGGCUCAAUGACUGGGCUUAUAAGAACAUGUUUUCACUAGGCUCUGUAGGCUCAAUGACUGGGCUUAUAAGAACAUGUUUUCACUAGGCUCUGUAGGCUCAAUGACUGGGCUUAUAAGAACACGUUUUCACUAGGCUCUGUAGGCUCAAUGACUGGGCUUUAAAGAACAUGUUUUCACUAGGCUCAAUGACUGGGCUUAUAAGAACACGUUUUCACGAGGCUCUGUAGGCUCAAUGACUGGGCUUAUAAGAACAUGUUUUCACUAGGCUCUGCUCUCUCACCGUGUUCCAGGGGUCCUAGUCUAUAGGCUACGUUUGGUGUUAUUUAGACAUUUUUAGUUAUGAUAUAAACCUUAUUAAAACAUAUAGGGCUAUGAGCUAUGCUACAUGAUGCGUGCGACUAUGAUUUGGAGAAAAAAAAGGCAUGCGCUGAUUCUUGCUUUAGACUGUAUACUCUGGGCACCAUUCACAAGUGAUAAUACAUUGUUCACAAGUGACAAUAUUGUCAAACCAAUAGACAUUUUCUGAAGUUAAUCUUAUCUUUUACAUAUACUAAAUAACGUUUGAAUUAUAUGUCGUGUUUUUCCCGCAGUUCAUUUUCAUGCCAGCCCUGUAUGUAUGCUACUCCUGUUGUAAAGCGAAGCAAUGUACUUAAUAAUAUUAGGAACGUUGAUAAAUAAACAAACUGCAUUGGGAAGUAUUCAGACCCCUUCCUUCCUCCACUUCCUGUUACAUUACAGACUUAUUCUAAAAAUGGAUUCAAUUGUUUGGUUUUUUUACUCAUCAGUCUACACACAAUACCCCAUAAUGACAUUGCAAAAACAGGUUUUACAACAUUUUCCAAUUUAUUUAUAUAUAUAUUUAAAUAUAUAUAAAAAAAUACCUUAUUUACAGAACUCCACCAUUCAGGCCUUUAUGGUAGAGUGGCCGAAGGAAUCCACUCCUCAGUAAAAGGCACAUGACAGCCCGCUUGAAGUUUGCCAAAAGGCACCUAAAGGACUCUCAGACCAUUUAGAAACACAAUUAUCUGGUCUGAUGAAACCAAGAUUGAGCUCUUUGGCCUGAAUGCCAAGUGUCACGUCUGGAGCAAACCUGGAAUCAUCCCUACGGUGAAGCAUGGUGGUGGCAGCAGCAUGCUGUGGGGAUGUUUUUCAGCGGCAGGGACUGGGAGAUUAGUCAGGAUCAAGGGACAGAUGAAUGGGGAGCAAAGAACAUUGAGAUACUUGAUAAAAACCUGCUCAGGACCUCAGACUGGGGCGAAGGUUCAACUUCCAACAUGACAACGACCCUAAACACACAGCCAAGACAAUGCAGUAGUGGCUUCGGGACAUGUCUCUGAAGGUCCUUGAGUGGCCCAGCCAGAGCCCGGACUUGAACCCGAUCGAACAUCUCUGGAGAGACCUGAAAAAAAGCUUUGCAGCGAUGCUCCCCAUCCAACUUGACAAAACUUGAGCGCAUCUGCAGAGAAGAAUGGGAGAAAGUCCCCAAAUACAGGUGUGCCAAGCUUGUAACGUCAAACCCAAGAAGACGCGAGGCUGUAAUCGCUGCCAAAAGGUGCUUCAACAAAGUACGGAGUAAAGGGUCUGAAUACUAAAUGUAAAUGUGAUGUUUUUGUCUUGUUAUUAUGGGAUAUUGUGAUGUCAUUAUGGGGUAUUGUGAUGUCAUUAUGGGGUAUUGUGUGGAGAUUGGUGAGGGGGGGAAAAAAACUUGGAAAAUGUCAAGGAGUCUGAAUACUUUACUAAUGCACUAUAUAUGGUAUUUUGUAUUGUAUUGUAUUGUAUUACAUGGUUGGGAUACGACUGAUGUGUUGUUGUCUCGCCUGGCUAUCUUAAGAUGAAUCCACAAGCUGUGGGUAGCUCUUGAUGGGAGUGUCUGCUCAAUCAGGGUUUUAUAAACUUGGUCCUGGGUGGAUCAUUUGUUUUACUACUAAAUGCCUUUUGUUUAAUGACACACAGGCUAUGAAAUGACUACAUGUGUUUUAAAACUAGAUGUAUUAUGUUAGCCAUUGAUGAUUCAUGUAUUUGGAUAACUUCAAUGAACUUAAUUGAUCUGCUAAUAAAAAAUACACUUUUUUGGGGGGUGGGGGUUUAUCUAUACAGAAAAUACUAUGUUUUUGUUUAAUUCAUGGUAUUCAAAAUAAUGUUUAUUUAUCUAGUCAAAACAUGUCACUAGAUCUCUACACAUCACCAUUGGAAGAGGCCCAUUUAUCUAGGCACCAGUAUUGUCUACAAUCUGUACAAAUAUAUGUUUAUCAGUAUAAAGGAUUUACAUAGGUUUCUUAUUAAAUAACAGUUAAAUAAA
ensembl:lncRNA